GACGAACGCUGGCGGCGUGCUUAACACAUGCAAGUCGAACGGUGAAGCGCCUUCCUUUUUGGUGGGUGUGGAUGAGUGGCGAACGGGUGAGUAACACGUGAGUAACCUGCCCCCUUCUUCUGGAUAACCGCAUGAAAGUGUGGCUAAUACGGGAUAUUCUGGGUCUGUCGCAUGAUGGGUCUGGGACAGAUAUUGUUUCGGUGGGGGAUGGGCUCGCGGCCUAUCAGCUUGUUGGUGAGGUGAUGGCCUACCAAGGCGGUGACGGGUAGCCGGCCUGAGAGGGUGGACGGCCACACUGGGACUGAGACACGGCGCAGACUCCUACGGGAGGCAGCAGUGAGGAAUAUUGCACAAUGGGCGCAAGCCUGAUGCAGCGACGCCGCGUGAGGGAUGGAGGCCGUCGGGUUGUGAACCUCUUUCGCCAGUGAAGCAGGGCUGCCUCGUUUGUGGGUGGGUUGACGGUAGCUGGAUAAGAAGCGCCGGCUAACUACGUG
rnacentral:rRNA from 1 species